UUUUACUAUUAAACACAAUUUUUUACAGUUUGACAUUCAAUAUAAUGAAAAAUUUUGUAAUGAAAUUUAAAGAGACUGUAAAUGACGAAAUAUUGACAAAAGAAUCACAUAAGGUCAAUUAUGAAAUGAAAAUUGUUUGGAAAAAUGUGAUUAUUUUCACUUAUAUUUAUCUUUCCAUCCUUUACGGAUUAUAUCUGUUUGCCUUUUACGCCAAACUGUGGACGAUUAUCUGGUUUUAUAUUAUUGCUGUUCUUUUGGGUUUUGGCAUUACUGCUGGCGCUCAUAGAUUAUGGUGUCAUCGGUCUUAUAAAGCGAAAUGGUCACUGAGACUCAUUCUUGUAAUUCUCAAUGCUGCUGCUCUCCAAGAUAACAUUUUUGUGUGGGUUAGAGAUCAUAGAACGCAUCAUAAAUUCACUGACACUGAUGCGGAUCCGUAUAAUGCGCGUAGAGG